UUGAGUUAACAGGAGUCCUCUCAGCUCGGUAGACAUCUGUAGGCCGUGUGUGCUCAGCUCUCACUGGCCUGGAAACCCAGAGGCUCUGAUUUUGCUUCCCUCCGCGGUGGGGUUUUCUUUCCUCUCUGUUUAUCAUUCCUGCCCGCAGUGUGCUUUGAUGAUGCCGGAGCCCGGAGACUCUGCGGCAGUACAUGGGAGAGGGUUUAUUGUGCGAGUCACAGCACAUUCAGCCUGCUUUCCAAAGAUACGCUGAGCUUCUCCGGCUAAUAAAAGCCACAUCUGGAUGGCAGAAAGCCACAGUUUAAAGUUUUACAUUUAUCUCCUGGGUGUCACAGCCGGGGACGACCAUAAUGGUAAAAUGAGGAGACCCGGGUUUUCAUCUUCUCUGAUAAAUACGGACUGCAGGCCUGGAGGGAGUCACACAGAGCUGCCUCGUUAUUCCAAAGAAAAAGGCAUCAGGCCAUGGUGCACUCUGAAAGUUUGAAGGAGAAUCUUAGGAAAGGAGUUUCCAGAGCUACAGCAGUGCUACCCAGUGGAACUUUCAGCAAUGACAGAGGAGAUGUCUGCCGGUGAGACCUCAUCUGUGCCUCGGAGCUCUUACCAAAGUAAAGGAGAGUAGGCGACACGUGGAAGAAGGGAAGAUGGAGGUCCAAAAAGCUGACGGCAUUCAAGACCGCUGUAACACUAUUUCCUUCGCCACGUUGGCCGAGAUUCAUCACUUCCAUCAAAUUAGAGUAAGAGACUUUAAAUCACAGAUGCAACAUUUUUUACAACAACAAAUAAUAUUUUUCCAAAAAGUGACCCAGAAGUUGGAAGAGGCGCUUCACAAAUACGACAGCGUCUAAUGACUGCACAUGGGACCGCGCUCUUGUUUUCAGUUGAACGAUAAUUUCCACAGCAGAACAAAACCUGCCUUCUCAGAGCUGUUGCCAACUCUAGGUGGUACAAGGACGGCUUUGUGUUCAGCCGAAACCGGCUGGAUAUAUAAUUAUGUAGGAAAGAAGCAGUUAAUAUGGCUAUGUAGCAGAAACAGUACCACACUUUGUAACUAAAUUAUACUAUGUAUGCCUACACUACCAUUGUAACUUUUGGAUAAUGAUUAUACUAUUUGCCUUAUUGCUUUUUGAAGUAUGGGUAUAUUAGUGUAUACUUUGUAGACCUCAAAACCCAUGAAGAGUCUCAAAGAAGCUGGCUGGAUAAAAGCCUGCUGUGGAUGCCUUUUUAGUCUCAGAGAUCGAGACUACCUAAAUCCAACCUAUUCUCUGUUUACAAACUCCAACCGGAGCAGCUAUGCGACUUUGUGCCUUUAGUCCGCUUGUUUUCCUUUCUGUCCCACCUGGGUUCGAGCCCCCAACGUUUCUGAUGGAAAGAGCAAAGGGCGGGCAUGUUGGUGACAAGCCGAUGACAAGCUCCCAUUUCUGGGGGUGGUGGGAGAACCAGUGGCCAUCACUUUGCACAGGAAGCAUCGCCUGGUAAGAUGCUGGCAGUUACAGAGGCAGGAGACGCUUCUGCCGUCUCUGGAUGUGAAGUCUCGUAGGGGAGAAGGCAGUGUGCCAUAUUCCCUCACAUCUGUAGUUCACGGCCUCGACUCAAGGGUCGCACGGAUUGGGCCUGAGGAUUUCGGCAGUGCCCUGAGCACGUGGAGAAGGAGGAAUCCGAUCGGGGAUAAAGAACAGAAACAGUGGGUGACAACGCACUCCAUCUUAGUUUGGGGGAGGGUCUCCUGUCUUCCUUUUUCUUUUUUCUUUUUUCUUUUAUAGCUUGAAAUUUUAAUGUUCAGCUUUUUGUUUCGGUUUCAAAUGGAUCUACACUGUUAACUGAAUGAGACUCCACUGUGAUUCACUCGUUUACUUAAUCAAAAAAAAUUUCAGGGAUGUCUGUAAAUUUCAGUGUUGUACGCGAUGAGAAGUGCUGUUGGUUGAUUUAAGGAGGGACCAGAAAUAAUUUCUACUAUUCCAGUACUGAAAGAAAAAAAAAAUACUGAUUUAUACUGUUUUUAAAAACUAAGUAUUGAUAAAGCCCCCCUCAGAACAUUUAACCUUAAAAUUAUUUUGAAUAUCGCCUUUUAUUAUUAGAAGGGAGCUGCAAAUGACUGACAAAUACCAAAAAGAUUUACAUGCAGGCUUCAUCUAAAAAGCACAAAGAGGUUCUGGUGUGAAAUGCCCAAAUCUCAACUGUUUUUUGUAGUUGCUGAGCUAAAUAAUGUGAUUCUUGAGUUUACAGAUGUAAGAGCUGUCACUGAAGGCUGAGGUCCCUGCAUCUGCUGUCCCUGUGAACUACUUCCACCACCCCGGAAACCCUGGUCCUGACAUGGUAACGUGGGGGUACAGAGGCCAGGCUCAGAGGGGGUGAGCCACAGUUAUCCGAAAGGGUCAGCUUGCAGAAGGGUCAAGCAAGGAAAGGCGAGUGGGAUAAUUACUUCACAGCACAUUCACUCUCUACAAAGAAAUCACAUAUGGGUUGACAUUUUAAGAACGGAUGAUGAUCAUUUUGACCUCUGGUCAAAUCCUUGUGCUUCAGAACUCUGAGGCGGACGUGGCAUCCUGUGGCGCUGUCUUUACUACAGGCACGUGGGACUGCCGCCAAAAGCCAUGCUCUCUUAAAAAGCAACUUCCUCUCUUGGAUUGCAAAGUACAGCGAGAUAAAGAAAACGCAUAUAUAUUUAAAAAUUAAUUUUAUUCCAGAAUUUUGGAGGUUACAAUGAUAGCAUUUAAGUUUGAAUUGGUGUUGAAGAAGCAAGCUCUCUGCGUUUCAGAUGAUUUGAGCGUCCCAUUUAUUUGCCUCUUUGUUUUGAUGGUGGUUUGAUUUUUUUUUUCUUUUAAUAAAAUUACUAAACUUGUGCAAUAGUAGCAAGGACAUCCAUCACCUGAGGUGUCUGAUUGUGCUUUAGCCAGGGUGGACAUAGCUUAAAUCAUAAACUAAGAUUAAAGUCCAGAGAAGUGGAAAGCUGAUGCUGCCUCCUGCUGAGAUAGCGUUUGUCCUCCCUAACCACACAGCAUCAUCUCACCGGCUCGUGGGACUUGACGUGAAUUCUGUGGGUUAAUGCACCAGGCUUACUAGUGUCCAUUUUCAUCCAAGAUCCUUACUCUCUAACGUUCUUGGUCCUAUUGAAGCAUUUCAGUAUCUAAGCAUACUGCAAUGUUAAUACCCAAGAGAAAAGCCAUUACGUACGUAUUCUGGUCACACGAUCGGUGUGGCACCGUUUUAUUUGUUACUGUUGUUGUUUUAUUUUGUUGUUUCUGUUUUUUAAAUAAACUAUCACACCCUCC
rnacentral:lncRNA from 1 species